rnacentral:rRNA from 1 species
AGAACGAACGCUGGCGGCAGGCUUAACACAUGCAAGUCGAACGCUCAUAGCAAUAUGGGAGUGGCGCACGGGUGAGUAACGCGCGGGAAUAUGCCCUUUAGUUCGGGAUAGCCACUGGAAACGGUGGCUAAUACCGAAUACGCCCUACGGGGGAAAGAUUUAUCGCUAAAGGAUUAGCCCGCGUCAGAUUAGCUAGUUGGUGGGGUAAUGGCCUACCAAGGCUCCGAUCUGUAGCUGGUCUGAGAGGACGAUCAGCCACACUGGAACUGAGACACGGUCCAGACUCCUACGGGAGGCAGCAGUGGGGAAUAUUGGACAAUGGGGGAAACCCUGAUCCAGCCAUGCCGCGUGUGUGAUGAAGGCCUUAGGGUUGUAAAGCACUUUUGUCAGGGAAGAUGAUGACGGUACCUGAAGAAUAAGCACCGGCUAACUUCGCGCCAGCAGCCGC